GACGAACGCUGGCGGCGUGCUUAACACAUGCAAGUCGAACGGAAAGGCCCUGCUUGCAGGGUGCUCGAGUGGCGAACGGGUGAGUAACACGUGGGUGAUCUGCCCCUUACUUUGGGAUAAGCCUGGGAAACUGGGUCUAAUACUGGAUAGGACCAUGCUGUAGGUGGUGUGGUGGAAAGAUUAGUUUCGGUAAGGGAUGAGCUCGCGGCCUAUCAGCUUGUUGGUGGGGUAAUGGCCUACCAAGGCGUCGACGGGUAGCCGGCCUGAGAGGGUGGACGGCCACAGUGGGACUGAGAGACGGGCCAGACUCCUACGGGAGGCAGCAGUGGGGAGUAUUGCACAAUGGGCGCAAGCCUGAUGCAGCGACGCCGCGUGGGGGAUGACGGCCUUCGGGUUGUAAACUCCUUUCAGCCAUGACGAAGCCCUUGUGGUGACGGUAGUGGUAGAAGAAGCACCGGCUAACUACGUG
rnacentral:rRNA from 1 species